UUAUGUGAUCGUCUCUCGCAUAUCAAUAAGCGGAGGAAAAGAAACUAACAAGGAUUCCCCUAGUAACGGCGAGUGAAGCGGGAAGAGCUCAAAUUUGAAAUCUUAAAGGGUUUCCCUGUACGAAUUGUAGUUUAAAGAAGUGUUUUCUGUUGAGGUUUUGGUAAAAGUUCUUUGGAAUAGGACAUCAUAGAGGGUGAGAAUCCCGUAUUUGACCUUUACUUUCAACUUUGUGAUACACUUUCAAAGAGUCGGAUUGUUUGGGAAUGCAGUCCAAAAUGGGUGGUAAAUUUCAUCUAAAGCUAAAUAUUGGCGAGAGACCGAUAGCGAACAAGUACCGUGAGGGAAAGAUGAAAAGAACUUUGAAAAGAGAGUUAAACAGUACGUGAAAUUGUCAAAAGGGAAGCGUUUGACACCAGUGUUGUUUUUCUGAAAAUCAAUUAAAGAACUGUUUAUGCUAAGCUGUUUAGACUUUAUCAGCUAACUGUUUAGUUCUGAGCUUUUCUUUAAUGCACUUUUCAGUUAACAAGUCAACAUCAAUUUCUUUUGCUGUAAAAAAGCUUGAGGAAGGUGGCUUGAGAUUCGUCUUAAGUGUUUAUAGCCUCUUGCCUAUGCAGUCGGAGAGAUUGAGGUCUGCAGCGUAGAUCCUUCGGGGCUAAAUGCAUUUGUGCUAAGUUAUAGCAUUUUAUAGACAACUUGUUGACUACGAUUUGUCUUGUAGCUUACUCGCUUAUGUUAUUUUACCUACGCUUAGGAUGUUGAGCGCAUGUCUCUCUCU
rnacentral:rRNA from 1 species